ensembl:lncRNA
AUGACACAACCAAAACACAAGCAUCAGGGGCCAGUUGUGGAAAUAUCAUUCCCCUCAAGGGAAGUGAUAGAAAAACUAGAACACCCUGAGCCAAGAGAAGCCAGGAUGGUGCUGGAAUGUAGAGAGGCUGAGAGCCAGAGUGAGGGCCAGGCCGGAGGAAGCUGGAGGGGACUAGAAAGAGAGGAGACAAAGUCUGCAGGGUUGUGGAAAAAGAGGACCAAGGAGAAGGGGGAGAUGGAAGAUGCAGGAAGAGCUGAAUCAAGGAGGAAGAAGGAGACAAUGCAGCUAAGAUACAGGUAACCUCAGUGCAGGUUAAUGGGGUGGGGGUGGGGGCUCUGGGAAAGAAAGGAGUCAUCCUCCAAGGACGCUACAGAUCACAAGACGGUCCCAAAUGACCCCAUUUCUAAAAACAUCAGAAAGCUGUGCCGGAGAGUUGUUGAAAAGAAAGCCUUUAAAACUAUUUCCAUGGACGUUCAUUUAAAGAAUAAAUCUUUUUCAUUGCAGAAACAUCUUUAAGAAAAUGAGAACACAGUGAAAGGUUUUAAACAGGGUUGGAGGUAAUACAAAUAAAGACACAUAAAAUUCAGCUUGGCCAAAGAUGAAAUAACAGGAUUCGCAUUAAGUAUAUCUUGCAGAAUGGAAAAAAUGUUCUAAGAGUCCAUAUUAAUAGAGUGGGGUUAUCUGUGGGGCAGAAAGAUAGCUGUGACAGAAAAAUGAAAGGAUUAGACCACUGUAGAUUAUUUUGGAAGGGUUGGGAAAUUGUCUGUCACCGAGCUAUCCCCUUUAUGUUAAUUUAUAACUCCCCCUACCCAGGUAAGAACUCAGCGUUUGUUCCUCUCCUAGCUUAACUUGAGUUCUCCAUUUACACUGGGUCUGUAUCUGCCUUGCGCUGGCUGUUUUUCCUCAAUGCGUUCUUAGGCAACAGCUAUAACUGCCUUGCCCCGGCAUGUCACUACCCCACUAAUGAUUUUCAGUAGAAAGCUUCAGUAGAUUUUCUGUAGCUGUUUCUAAGGUGACAUCACAAGCAGAAGGUGACCGAGAGACAAUGACUAUCGUGUAUCAUGACAUACCUACUAUGUGCCAGGCAAGAGUUGUACCUGUAUUUUCUUGUUCAAUCCUGACAGCAACCCUCCAUGCAAUCUUUGUCACACACUGGUUGUGUAGCCUCAGGAACAGUUCUUACCCUCUUCCAAUUUCUUCAAUUUAAAAUACAGUAAAAAUAAUGAUAGAGAAUAUGUCAGAAUUGUGAAGAGUAAAUGAGUUUGACACAUUUACUUAAAACAGUGUUCUGUAUUGAGCAAGCUCUCAAUAAAUGUUUAUUUCUAAUAGGAAGUGGUCAUAGUCAUCAUUAUCUUUGUUUUACAUAGGAGGAAGUUGCAUGUUUAAAUUACCUCCCCAAAGUCAUCAUAGCUAGUAAGUGGCAGAGCUGGGUGAUGCCAGGCCCUUUCUUUUAACACAAGACACCAGUUAGAAUGCUGAGCUAACAGGGCUUUAUGCUUCAAUAAAGAAAGGUAAGGCUGGGUGCAGUGGCUCAUGCCUGUAGUCCUAGCUACUUGGGAGGCUGAGGCAGGAGAAUCACUUGAACCUGGGAGGCAGAGGUUGCAGUGAGCUGAGAUCGCACCACUGCACUCCAGCCUGGGCAACAGAGAGAGAGACAGCCGCAAAAAAAAAAAAAAAAAAAAAAAAAAAAAAAAAAAGCUUUAGUUGUGUGGAUUCAAUCUCAUUGCCCCUUUUCAGCUGUAAGUGUUGAGUGAUUGUCUUGCUCCACAUUUUCGCAUGCCCAGCUGGUUUGCAUGGUUUUGCUGGGGCAUUAGCUGCCCUGUGAAAUUCUGUGAAUGCCCAUUUCUUUCUAACAGGCUACAGUGUGCGCCAUUUAUGGGCAAAAAUCUUCUCAGAACCUUGACCACAAAUAUCUGCUGAACAGGGAGUUCUUCUGCACAACCCUGGUAUUCUAUCGUGUGAAAAGAAACAUGGGUCAUAAGAUUUGCAAAAUGAAUCACGGAGGCAAAGAUUCCCCCAUAUGAAAUAUCGUCAUGGGCAUCUGUUGGAAAAACAUCGAAUGUGCUUAAUUUACUUUUCGUGAUCCUCUUGGGAGUUGGCUCUCAGUGUAUGUGCCCCUAAAAAGUUUCAAGACUCUUCAUACUCAUGCUAAAACUGCUGCUUACUGAUAUCUUAUUAUGCUACAAGCAGAAUCACAGCCCAGAUUUUAAUAUUCUGAUGUGUAAGGACUUCUUGUAUUGGCAUACUGUCUGUCCUUCCAGUGGCUGAAAUAGAUUCUGAAGUCUCCACUUUGUUCUCUCCCUCAGCAUCAACUUCACUAGAUAGUUAUUAUGAUCAUGGUUAUUAUCUAUUGAUGUCAAAACUCAGGUGCAUUGAUACUAAGAGAUGGUUCUAAGAUUUGUAUAGCUAGUUAAGGGAAGAACUAAAUUGAUGUUUCCCUUUGUGACUUAGUCGUG